AACGAACGCUGGCGGCAUGCCUAACACAUGCAAGUCGAACGAGACCUUCGGGUCUAGUGGCGCACGGGUGCGUAACGCGUGGGAACCUGCCUUUAGGUUCGGAAUAACUCAGAGAAAUUUGAGCUAAUACCGGAUGAUGUCUUCGGACCAAAGAUUUAUCGCCUUUAGAUGGGCCCGCGUUGGAUUAGCUAGUUGGUGGGGUAAAGGCCUACCAAGGCGGCGAUCCAUAGCUGGUCUGAGAGGAUGAUCAGCCACACUGGGACUGAGACACGGCCCAGACUCCUACGGAAGGCAGCAGUGGGGAAUAUUGGACAAUGGGCGAAAGCCUGAUCCAGCAAUGCCGCGUGAGUGAUGAAGGCCUUAGGGUUGUAAAGCUCUUUUACCCGAGAUGAUAAUGACAGUAGCGGGAGAAUAAGCUCCGGCUAACUCCGUG
rnacentral:rRNA from 1 species